rnacentral:misc_RNA from 1 species
CGUCCUUGCUACCGCUCCGUAGGCUCCGAAUCCGGUGCAAGAGACUUCCUGGAUCCAGUAUCACCCUCAAAGAAGCGAAAAUGUAGCAGAAAACGCUCCUACUCUUCCUAUGUUCAAGCGCUUCACAUGGCUGUUUAUGCACUUCUACCGUAGGCCCUGCUUUCGCUUGGUUCCAUCAUUCUGCAGCCCUUAGUGCUUUUUAAUGGUUCAUUGCUGCUGAUCUGACUUUCUGAUUCUAGCCUUUCAUCUGAAACACGCAAGAGAAGGCUGUAGGGCACAACGCGUCACUACAGUUUUGCUCUCCUUCUGCCUUGCAUGUACAUGGACAAUAAUGUUUCUUUACUGAAAUGAGCCAAUAGCAGUUGCUUCAAUAAAUAUGGGCUCGUUGGUGCCUCUGGGGCUCCGUUUGAGCCUGAUCGUAUCCGCUGCUCACAUGGUCGUGUGACUUUGUCGCUUCCAUUUUAACCCCUGCAUUCGCGGGUGCACACAGCUUGGGAUCUAGCGUCUUCUUAUCUCACGCAUGCUCUAACUCUUCUCCCUCGCUGUCUUCCCUGCGGGCUCUCUCCUCCGGUGUGAGUCCCUCUUCGUGCCUACUCUCCUUAG